rnacentral:rRNA from 1 species
AUUGAACGCUGGCGGCAGGCUUAACACAUGCAAGUCGAGCGGGGUGAUGGUGCUUGCACUAUCACUUAGCGGCGGACGGGUGAGUAAUGCUUAGGAAUCUGCCUAUUAGUGGGGGACAACAUCUCGAAAGGGAUGCUAAUACCGCAUACGUCCUACGGGAGAAAGCAGGGGAUCACUUGUGACCUUGCGCUAAUAGAUGAGCCUAAGUCGGAUUAGCUAGUUGGUGGGGUAAAGGCCUACCAAGGCGACGAUCUGUAGCGGGUCUGAGAGGAUGAUACCCCACAAUGGGACUAAGACUAGGCCCAGACUCCUUCUGAAGGCAGCAGUGGGGAAUAUUGGACAAUGGCGGUAUCCCUGAUCCAGCCAUGCAGCGUGUGUGAAGAAGGCCUUAUGGUUGUAAAGCACUUUAAGCGAGGAGGAGGCUCUUUUGGUUAAUACCCAAGAUGAGUGGACGUUACUCGCAGAAUAAGCACCGGCUAACUCUGUGCCAGCCGCCGCCGUAA